rnacentral:tRNA from 1 species
CCGUCGUGUGACGUCCGUGGGUCGGGCUCGGCGGGUCGAGCGGGCCCGCGGCGGUCGGUCGGGACCGCUGAGGGGCCGUUCGUCGCGGUCACGACGGACC